GGGGGGGGGGGGGAGCAACACCUGUGUUCAGCUUUAACGUUUAAAUUAGAAGUCAUUGAAAUCUGCUACGAGAAGAACGAAGCAAAACGGUUUAAGAACAGCAGCCACGCAAUAGCUCGAAGCCUGAAAAACAGGGGUUAAAGGAGUGCACCACAGCCCUGCUCCAGUCUAAGACAACCUCAGGAUUUCCUCUGCGCCGCCAAGACGCAGCUGCACCAGCAGGUGGCAGUGCGGAGUCGCAGGUGCGGCCAGACGACCCUUUCUUUACCCUAGGCUGCUGGGGAUCUUGAGCUCCAAGUGGUGGGGAAUUCGGUAAAGAGAUGUUUUUUCCUGCUGUUGCAGUUACUCAUUACUACCUACUGAUGCAGAAAUACUUCAGCAUAUAGCUGAGCUGUAGUUGCACAACUAUCUGAACGUCAUCACCAGUACAGGUGGUUGUGAGCUGCUGGACAUGGCUGCUCGGAACUCUGGAAGGGAGAAGCAAGUGCUCCUAAAUUGCUGAGCUUUCUCUCCAUCCCAUGGCAAAUUUCUUGACAAUUACAUCCUUAUUCCAAAGCCUGCACCUCCGACCACUAUAUUAUACUCUAGUUUUCCUCUAUAUAGGGCCUUUGAACUCACCUCUUCAAUGGGUCCACUGCACCACAAUGGUCAACGCCACCCUGACCCUGCCCCCCAUCCCAAGCACCUUCAACAUCUGUGGUCUUCCUCUGGGCUUUCUCUCCUCCCUCCCCUUCACAUUCCUGGUUUUCUCUAACUGGCUUACUCCUAUUCCCAGACAGGAAGUAAGGUGUCCGAAAAUUCUCCUCUCUCUUCCUAGCCAACUUCUUGGCUUACACUACACUCUGGAGAUGAACUAUUCCUCUCCUCCCACAUCACCCUUGAUGGUGCCCUGUAUCUCCAGCCAGCACCUCGUCCCCAAGCUGCACUUGCAUAUACCAUCUCCAGAAAUUACCCUGACGAAUACACCACAUCAGAAACAUACUACUCCCUACACAGUUCACUUACUCUACCACCCACCACCAACAGGGAGGGAGGGAGGGAGGGAGGGAGGGAGGGAGGGAGGGAGGGAG
ensembl:lncRNA